rnacentral:rRNA from 2 species
UGGAGAGUUUGAUCCUGGCUCAGGACGAACGCUGGCGGCGUGCUUAACACAUGCAAGUCGAACGGUAAGGCCCCUUCGGGGGUACACGAGUGGCGAACGGGUGAGUAACACGUGGGUGAUCUGCCCUGCACUCUGGGAUAAGCCUGGGAAACUGGGUCUAAUACCGGAUAUGAGCUCCUGUCGCAUGGCGGGGGUUGGAAAGGUUUACUGGUGCAGGAUGGGCCCGCGGCCUAUCAGCUUGUUGGUGGGGUAAUGGCCUACCAAGGCGACGACGGGUAGCCGGCCUGAGAGGGCGACCGGCCACACUGGGACUGAGACACGGCCCAGACUCCUACGGGAGGCAGCAGUGGGGAAUAUUGCACAAUGGGCGAAAGCCUGAUGCAGCGACGCCGCGUGAGGGAUGACGGCCUUCGGGUUGUAAACCUCUUUCAGCAGGGACGAAGCGAGAGUGACGGUACCUGCAGAAGAAGCACCGGCAACUACGUGCCAGCAGCCGCGGUA